GAUAGUGGGGGGCAGGGAGAGGGGAAAUUAUGAGGGGGGGAGGGGUGACGCGGAAUUACUGGGCGGAAAGGGGGCGUGGGGGGUGUUGUAAUUCUGCGGUGAAAUCCCCGGGCUCAACCUGGGAAUGGUAGUGGAUACUGGAAAGCUAGAGUGCGGUAGAGGGUAGUGGAAUUCCCGGUGUAGCAGUGAAAUGCGUAGAGAUCGGGAGGAACACCAGUGGCGAAGGCGGCUACCUGGACCAGCACUGACACUGAGGCACGAAAGCGUGGGGAGCAAACAGGAUUAGAUACCCGAGUAGUC
rnacentral:rRNA from 1 species